GGUUCCAUAGCGCAGCGGUCAGCACGUCUGCUUUACACGCAGACGGUCCUGGGUUCGCGCCCCAGUGGAGCCA
rfam:Pteropus alecto contig26922, whole genome shotgun sequence.